UUGAGCCGUAUGCGGUGAAAGUCGCACGUACGGUUCUUAGGAGGGAAAGGCGGGGUAACCCGCCCGACCUAUCCGAC
rnacentral:ncRNA from 1 species